rnacentral:misc_RNA from 1 species
GUUUGUAGUGUGUAAUAAAUCAGUAAAUUGUAGAUAUGGUCCAAGAAUAAGCUUUCCAUUUUAUAUUGAAGAUGUUCAAGAAUCUUACUGUGGGUACCCUGGAUUUGGGCUAAAUUGUAGUGAACAAGGGUUUCCUGUUGUACAUAUUGCUGGAAAUGAGUAUGUAGUUGAAGAUAUUAGAUAUCAAGAUCAUACUUUUCAGCUUAAA